rnacentral:ncRNA from 1 species
AUCAGAGUCUGGGAACGCCAAGGCUUCCCGGAGUGUAUCCCGUAAAUUCAGCAGCCCACUGCCUGGGUAAAAGGGACGUUAUCCCGUCAUCCGAAUCGGGGGCGUUCCAGGUAGUUAUCGUAUACCAAUCUGUCCGGUGGCUAAUCUUACGAUUUUCCAUCGGCCAUUUAUUGAGCGGCUGCUAUGUUC